rnacentral:miRNA from 1 species
CUAUUAUGUUGGUGCAAAAGUAACUGCGGUUUUUGCCAAAAAAAAAGGGCAAAAACUGCAUUUAGUUUCGCACCAACCUGAUACUUUUUAUCAUUAUAGGUAAAUUUG